rnacentral:rRNA from 1 species
AUUGAACGCUGGCUGCAGGCCUAACACAUGCAAGUCGAGCGAGCGGCGGACGUGUGAGUAAUUUCUGGGAAACUUCCUGCUGCAGUGGGAUAACUACUGGAAACGGUAGCUAAUACCGCAUACCAUCGGAUGUGCCCAGAUGGGCUUCGCUAGUAGGGGGGGUAAAGGCUCACCUCGGCGACGAUCCCUAGCUGGUCUGAGAGGAUGACCAGCCACACUGGAACGGAGACACGGUCCAGACUCCAACGGGAGGCAGCAGUGGGGAAUAUUGCACAAGGGGCGCAAGCCUGAUGCAGCCAUGCCGCGUGGGUGAAGAAGGCCUUGGGAUGGUAAAGCACUUUAAGUUGGGAGGCGUUACCAACAGAAUAAGCACCGGCUAACUUCGUGCCAGCAGCCGCGGUAAUUC